GAUGAACGCUAGCGACAGGCUUAACACAUGCAAGUCGAGGGGCAGCAUGAGGUAGCAAUACCUUGAUGGCGACCGGCGCACGGGUGAGUAACGCGUAUGCAACCUGCCCGAUACCGGGGUAUAGCCCAUGGAAACGUGGAUUAACACCCCAUAGUACUUUUAUCCUGCCUGGGAUGGGAGUUAAAUGUUCAAGGUAUCGGAUGGGCAUGCGUCCUAUUAGUUAGUUGGCGGGGUAACAGCCCACCAAGACGAUGAUAGGUAGGGGUACUGAGAGGAAGGUCCCCCACAUUGGAACUGAGACACGGUCCAAACUCCUACGGGAGGCGGCAGUGAGGAAUAUUGGUCAAUGGACGUAAGUUUGAACCAGCCAAGUCGCGUGAGGGAAGACUGCCCUAUGGGUUGUAAACCUCUUUUAUAAGGGAAGAAUAAGUUCUACGUGUAGAAUGAUGCCUGUACCUUAUGAAUAAGCAUCGGCUAACUCCGUGCCAGCCGCCGCCGUAAUAC
rnacentral:rRNA from 1 species